rnacentral:rRNA from 1 species
AUGGUGUACUCCUCCUGUUUGAAUCGGAGUUUGAAACCAAACAAACUUCUCCUCAGGAGGAUAGAUGGGGCGAUUCAGGUGAGAUCCCAUGUAGAUCUAACUUUCUAUUCACUCGUGGGAUCCGGGCGGUCCGGGGGGGGGGGCACCACGGCUCCUCUCUUCUCGAGAAUCCAUACAUCCCUUAUCAGUGUAUGGAGAGCUAUCUCUCGAGCACAGGUUGAGGUUCGUCCUCAAUGGGAAAAUGGAGCACCUAAAAUUCGUUCCUCUAGCAGUUCCAGUUUGAGCAUUCCGUUCCCUUUUUCAAACUCCACUUCUUUUCAUAUAGCAAUCCCUGAUCAAAGAGAGAACAAUAUCCAUUUCAAAACAUUUCUAACAGAUUCCUUAGUUCGGACCGACGAAGUAAUGUCACUCGACUAA